GACGAACGCUGGCGGCGUGCUUAACACAUGCAAGUCGAACGGUAAGGCCCUUCGGGGUACACGAGUGGCGAACGGGUGAGUAACACGUGGGUGAUCUGCCCUGCACUUCGGGAUAAGCCUGGGAAACUGAGUCUAAUACCGGAUAGGACCACUGCCUGCAUGGGUGGUGGUGGAAAGCUUUUGCGGUGUGGGAGGGGCCCGCGGCCUAUCAGCUUGUUGGUGGGGUGAUGGCCUACCAAGGCGACGACGGGUAGCCGGCCUGAGAGGGUGACCGGCCACACUGGGACUGAGAUACGGCCCAGACUCCUACGGGAGGCAGCAGUGGGGAAUAUUGCACAAUGGGCGCAAGCCUGAUGCAGCGACGCCGCGUGAGGGAUGACGGCCUUCGGGUUGUAAACCUCUUUCAGCACCGACGAAGCGCAAGUGACGGUAGGUGCAGAAGAAGGACCGGCCAACUACGUGCCAGCCGCCGCAGUAA
rnacentral:rRNA from 1 species